GGCCUUUAAGGCCCCUGAAGGAACGUUUAAGACUAAGACGUUGAUAGGCUGGGUGUGUAAGUGCAGCGAUGCAUUGAGCUAACCAGUACUAAUGAUCCGUGAGGCUUAACCUUACAACACCGAAGGUGUUUUAG
rnacentral:rRNA from 1 species